GAAGAGCAGCAGCACUUAAAAGGAGUAGAGAGAAGCAAGACCCUAAUUGGAGGCAAAUCAAGUGAGAAGACAGAGAUUGAUGUCCUGGCUCACCUCUAAGGGAUCUCAGCAGUUCGCUAUCCAUUAAUUGCCCCAUGUUCAGGGUUCUUGGGUCAAGAGGAGGGCUCAGUGGCCUCAGAGAAGCAGGUUGAAUAGCACACAGAGAGAAAGGGCCACUGUGAUCCUGGAUCACUGCUGGGUGCUGGUAUUAUGGGUAAACAGUACAGGGAGAGAAAGGAAUCCACUGGGAUACAGGUCAUCUUCAGAUGCUGACAUUAUGGGACACGCAGACCUUCAAGACUCUGGAUUCCAAGGCAGAAAAUCACAGAUUUCCGACUUCGCAACUCACACACAAAAAGAAAUGAGUUACAACGUAGACACCAAACUAAAAACUACCCUACGCACCCAGCACAACCACACUGCCUACAUCUUCUGGAUUGCUAUUCCACACAACAAGCUAUCCACACCAACACCUCUACCCCUCUUCUCCAAUAACUUCUGAGAAAGGCUACAUUCACUGGAUCCCUCCCCAAUUCACACAGGUCCCACCACCUGGACCCCCAGAGGCCUCCUGUUUCAACUCAAGGAUGGCUGAGCUGGAGAGCCGAGACAGAAGACACAGCUGUCUUCUUACCACCACCACUAACACCCCCAACCGAGCCGCAGCAGCUGCUGAGACCUCUACUGGGACAUUCACAGCCCACUUCUUAAGCCUGGAGCAGAGUGAAGCCUGGAGGACCUCCACCAAGGGUUGCACAGACAGGACAGGAAAGGCUCCCCAACCACAGUGGCCUGGAGGAAGUAUACUGUCAAGAGAAGGAGGACAGAAUAUACCAGCUGCUGCUUGCCUAACCUCUUUCUACACGUGGAAUCCCCCAACCAGGCCUCCUCGCCCUUCCCCAGCAACCAACACACAUCAAGCCAAGCCCAAGGCCCUGACCCCAGUCUGUAUGGCUGAGUGUCUACCUCCACGCAGCCUCACCCCAAAGAAGGGGCGGGUCCACAGCAAACAAGCCUCACAAUGCCUCUGAGCCCCCUGAGGGGUCCAGGCCUCCAGCACCCAACUAUGCCCAGCUCCCAGGAAAUAGCCCAGAGGAAGGCACUGGAAAAGGCACCCCCGCCCUCCCCGAAAACAUCUGAGAUGACUCAGGCAACCUCCUCGCCCCAAGCACCUCCAUCCUCAGUAAACUGCAGGUGGGAGCAACUAAGGGACAUCUAGCCACCCCUGAAGGGGCCCACUCCCUUCUGGACUGCGCUCCUGCCCUCUCUCACACUCAACCACCUGGACUCCAAGUCCAGCCAGGAAAGGGCCUGCGGGGGACAGGAAACGCUCGAACACUUCCUCACUUAGAACAC